rnacentral:misc_RNA from 1 species
UUUCCGUAGGUGAACCUGCGGAAGGAUCAUUCAUAAUAAGUGUUUUAUGGCACUUUUUUAAAUCCAUAUCCACCUUGUGUGCAAUGUCAGGGUUGAUUUUUCUCUCGAGAAGAUCAACCCCAAACAUCAACUAUAUCUCAACUCUUUGUCUGAAAAAUAUUAUGAAUAAAACAAUUCAAAAUACAACUUUCAACAACGGAUCUCUUGGCUCUC